UACGUAGGGUGCAAGCGUUGCUCGGAAUCACUGGGCGUAAAGCGCACGUAGGCGGCUUUCUAAGUCAGGGGUGAAAUCCUGGAGCUCAACUCCAGAACUGCCUUUGAUACUGGCGAUCUCGAGUUCGGGAGAGGUGAGUGGAACUGCGAGUGUAGAGGUGAAAUGCGUAGAUAUCGGAAGGAACGCCGGUGGCGAAAGCGGCGUGCUGGACCUUUUCUGACGCUGAGGCGCGAAAGCCAGGGGAGCAAACGGG
rnacentral:rRNA from 1 species